UACGUAGGGACCGAGCGUUGUCCGGAAUCAUUGGGCGUAAAGAGCGUGUAGGCGGUCAACUAAGUCCUGCGUGAAAUCUCGGGGCUCAACCCCGAGCGGUCGUGGGAAACUGGUUGGCUAGAGUGCGGGAGAGGAGAGUGGAAUUCCUGGUGUAGCGGUGAAAUGCGCAGAUAUCAGGAAGAACACCCGUGGCGAAGGCGGCUCUCUGGAACGCAACUGACGCUGAGACGCGAAAGCGUGGGGAGCAAACAGG
rnacentral:rRNA from 1 species